AACGCUAGCUACAGGCUUAACACAUGCAAGUCGAGGGGCAGCAUGAAGUUUGCUUGCAAACUUUGAUGGCGACCGGCGCACGGGUGAGUAACACGUAUCCAACCUGCCGAUAACUCGGGGAUAGCCUUUCGAAAGAAAGAUUAAUACCCGAUGGCAUGGGAAGACCGCAUGGUCUUUCCAUUAAAGAAUUUCGGUUAUCGAUGGGGAUGCGUUCCAUUAGAUAGUAGGCGGGGUAACGGCCCACCUAGUCAACGAUGGAUAGGGGUUCUGAGAGGAAGGUCCCCCACAUUGGAACUGAGACACGGUCCAAACUCCUACGGGAGGCAGCAGUGAGGAAUAUUGGUCAAUGGACGAGAGUCCGAACCAGCCAAGUAGCGUGAAGGAUGACUGCCCUAUGGGUUGUAAACUUCUUUUAUACGGGAAUAAAGUAUUCCACGUGUGGAAUUUUGUAUGUACCGUAUGAAUAAGGAUCGGCUAACUCCGUGCCAGCAGCCGCGGUAAUACGGAGGAUCCGAGCGUUAUCCGGAUUUAUUGGGUUUAAAGGGAGCGUAGGUGGAAGAUUAAGUCAGCCUGUGAAAGUUUGCGGCUCAACCGUAAAAUUGCAGUUGAUACUGGUUUUCUUGAGUGCAGUAGAGGUGGGCGGAAUUCGUGGUGUAGCGGUGAAAUGCUUAGAUAUCACGAAGAACUCCGAUUG
rnacentral:rRNA from 1 species